GUUUCCUAAAUAGAUUUGUAAAAUACCUUGGAAUCAAAGAGGUAUAUUGUUCACUGCUCGUCAAUUUAGGGUUAUGGUUCAAAACUAUUGGCAUCAGCAUCCCCCCAACAUUCUGCGUCUUCCCUGCCAUUAGGAUUAGGGUUGGGGUUUCAAAUUGUGGUCUCUGCUAGAAUGGGGAGGAGACAGAAGCCUAAAGCAAAGAUAGAUCACCAAGAAGAUGAAGAAGGAGCGAAUUCUUCAAGGUCCGUCAUCUACCUGAGCAGCAGCGACGAUGAAGAAGCCAACGAAGAUCUGAGCUUGAAAAUCGUGGAGAAAGCUAUGAAGAGAGCGUCCAAGACGGAUCACAACGAUGCCGUUUUGGCUGGUCGCAGUGCUGUGAUCGAUCUGGGUUCCUCGCCUUCGGAAGAGGCCGAAGUGAUCACAGAUAGGAGCGGGCCCACCACGGACGAUGAUGCGGAGGUGAAGAGUAAGAAGAAGAAAAGUAGGAAAGAGAAGAGGGCGAACAAGAACAUAGAAAAUCAGGAGAAAACUGAUGAAAUUUUGAUGGAGGAAAAGAAGGGAGAGUCGGAUAAAGCAUUAGAGAUACUUAAAAUGGUGGAACCAUAUCCUGUUGAGGGUAGCGACAAUAUUGUCCUUCGGAAGCUUCUUCGAGGGCCAAGGUAUUUUGAUCCUCCAGAUAGUGGCUGGGGAGCAUGCUAUAAUUGUGGUGAAGAAGGUCAUAAUGCAGUGAAUUGUGCAUCUGUUAAGCGGAAAAAGCCGUGCUUUGUUUGUGGGAGUUUGGAGCAUAAUGCGAAGCAGUGCAUGAAGGGGCAAGAUUGUUUUAUUUGCAAAAAAGGAGGCCACCGAGCAAAAGAUUGUCCUGAGAAGCACAGAAGUGGUUCGCAAAAUUCUAAAAUAUGUUUAAAAUGUGGAGAUUCUAGGCAUGAUAUGUUUUCAUGCAGGAAUGAUUAUUCUCCUGAAGAUCUCAAGGAAAUACAAUGUUACAUUUGCAAGAGUUUUGGUCAUCUAUGUUGUAUCAACUAUGUUGAUACUGGUCCAAUAGAACCUUCUUGCUAUAAAUGUGGUCAGUUGGGCCAUACUGGUUUGGCAUGUGCAAGGUUAAAUGCAGAGACCGCUGAUGUGCAGACACCCAGUUCAUGCUAUAGAUGUGGUGAACAAGGUCACUUCGCUCGUGAAUGCAAAAGUUCCACUAAGGUUAGCAAGAGAUAUUCUGAAGUAUCUACACAAAGUCGGAGAUUUCUGAAAGAAGAUAAGGACAAGUUGGGAUUCAAGUCUGCCCCAAAAGAUCUUGGUAUGGGUCGUAAAAGGAAAAAGCCCUGGUAUGAAGAAAGAGGAAAUAUCACUCCGCGUAAACCAAAACAAAGAGGUGGCUGGAUUACAGAGGAUCCAGGAGAUUCCCCUCAAAGGAAAGCCAAAGUGAAGAGUUGGAGAUCUCCUGCAACACCAACAAAUAAGAAUCACAAGAGACCUAUGUUAACUGCUGGUCAUUACACAAGUUCGCAGUCUUCUAAAAAUACCCAGAAGUUCUAUUCUAGAAAUUCAACUUGGCAAGGAUCAGCAAAGGCUUCUCAGCAUAGAUUUUCUGCGUCAAGGUUUGGCAGCUCUAGCAGUGAUGCUGUAAGGAGACAUUAUGAUUGGUGGUAGGGAUUUAUUUUAUGUGUAGACUUGGAAGGCAAUGACUGCAAAAGGAAAAUGAUGUGGGUGUGUCACACCUCUUAUGACCUUAGAUUCAAAGUUGCAGUUUUGCUUGUGCACUAGUGAGGGCAAGGUUCCUUGCAUUUUCUCCGUGUUCUUGUUGAUGUACAUUAUUGAUGGAAGAAAUCAUUAUUUGAGGAUUUAUAGCAUUCUUCAUCAAAUGGUUUAGCUUUCUUCAGAAGUGGUUAUUCCUGGUUAAUUAUUUUGGUUUUUGUUUCUCUUGAUAACCUUACAUUUUAGUUGGUUUUCCAUAAAUUUCUUUACCUCUAAAGUUGGCCAAGGACUAACACAGGUUUUCCCCUCAGUUUCAUGUGUAAUACUGACAUGGCAAUGUAUCUCAAACUGUCAAUUGAAAAAUGUCGGUGCAUGGUUCUCAUUCUUGGGGAUCAAAAUUUUGGAUGUCCAAAAGUGAUUAAAUGAUUCCAUUCAUUCACAUGGAAAUUAAAAAGAUCCAUUUUUUUUU